GAUGAACGCUGGCGGCGUGCUUAACACAUGCAAGUCGACCGAUGAUCUCCAGCUUGCUGGGGGGAUUAGUGGCGAACGGGUGAGUAACACGUGAGUAACCUGCCCUUGACUCUGGGAUAAGCCUGGGAAACUGGGUCUAAUACCGGAUACGACCGCUCCACGCAUGUGGUGGUGGUGGAAGCUUUUGCGGUUUUGGAUGGACUCGCGGCCUAUCAGCUUGUUGGUGGGGUAAUGGCCUACCAAGGCGACGACGGGUAGCCGGCCUGAGAGGGUGACCGGCCACACUGGGACUGAGACACGGCCCAGACUCCUACGGGAGGCAGCAGUGGGGAAUAUUGCACAAUGGGCGGAAGCCUGAUGCAGCGACGCCGCGUGAGGGAUGACGGCCUUCGGGUUGUAAACCUCUUUCAGUAGGGAAGAAGCGUAAGUGACGGUACCUGCAGAAGAAGCGCCGGCUAACUACGUGC
rnacentral:rRNA from 1 species